AUUGAACGCUGGCGGCAUGCUUUACACAUGCAAGUCGAACGGCAGCGCGGGCUUCGGCCUGGCGGCUAGUGGCGAACGGGUGAGUAAUGCAUCGGAACGUGCCCAGUAGUGGGGGAUAGCCCGGCGAAAGCCGGAGUAAUACCGCAUACGACCUGAGGGUGAAAGCGGGGGACCGAAAGGCCUCGCGCUAUUGGAGCGGCCGAUGUCGGGUUAGCUAGUUGGUGGGGUAAAGGCUUACCAAGGCGACGAUCCGUAGCUGGUCUGAGAGGACGACCAGCCACACUGGGAGUGAGACACGGCCCAGACUCCUACGGGAGGCAGCAGUGGGGAAUUUUGGACAAUGGGGGCAAACCUGAUCCAGCCAUGCCGCGUGCGGGAAGAAGGCCUUCGGGUUGUAAAACGCUUUUGUUCGGGAAGAAAUCCUCUGGGCUAAUACCCCGGGGGGAUGACGGUACCGGAAGAAUAAGCACCGGCUAACUACGUG
rnacentral:rRNA from 1 species